GCCGGAAAUGCCAGGGAGGACCUUUUGCACAAUUGGCCAUCAGCUUGGUUCUGAAAAUGCGUUCUCGGCAUUUUCCACAGGACACGCUUUGAAGCGAGUGGAUGCACAGAGCUUUGAGAGGCGUGGUUAUCACCACCGACCUCACUGCCUCUUGCUCUUAUAUUAUGUCACUUCCUGUCCCAGUGCCUGAAGUUCAGGCCUCUCACGCAGCGUAGGAGAAAGAUGUCCGCUUUUUACUUCCGGAGAAGUAAACUUUAAAGAGGAUGUCCCUGCCUUGAGUCCCCAGGCCUCUCACGUGAAGAAGAAUCCCUCAUACACAGAGCACAGGAUGCCUGUGUUUUCCCUCCCCACCGUCCUUUCCUGCUGGUCUCGGCUCCCGGUUUACCGGGAGUUCUUCAGACCUCCGUGUGUGGCGUCAGGGAGCGCGCACAGAGCUGUUAAUGCAGAACAAAAUGGCCGCCUCUUAGGGUUUGUGGAGCCCGAUGAGGGAAUUACUGCCAGUUUAUACUCUGGGCCCUCACACAUGUCUUUCGUUCCGACAGCUCCAGUGGUUUUUAUUCCAACUGAUCUGCAACCCAUCCCGAAAUUGUUUCAGUAAGGCUCGCUCGGUCGUUCUGUCGGCAACAUUGCAAACUGCACGCCUGGGGGUGAGUGGAAGUUUCCUCUUCAUUCGUGGCAUUCUGAAUUUCACAAUGUUGCACGCAGGUGUGGCACAAGUGUGGAUCCUCUCUCUAGGCAUGUGGGAACAUUUUAAAUAUGGAGAUUGCUCCUCAUCAAAAUAAAAAGCUUCUGCACAGUGAAGGAAACAAUCAGCCAAACUAAAAGGCAGCUGAUGGAAUGGGAGAAGAUAUUUGUAAGUGGCAUAUCAGAUAAAGGCUUACUAUCCAAAAUCUAUAAGGAACUUAUCAACCUCAACACCCAAAAAACAAAUAAUCCAGUGAAGAAAUGGGCAAAAGACAUGAAUAGACACUUCUCCAAAGAAGACA
rnacentral:lncRNA from 1 species